AGCAGCCGCGGUAAUUCCAGCUCCAAUAGCGUAUAUUAAAGUUGUUGCAGUUAAAAAGCUCGUAGUUGAAUUUCGAGACCGGUUUACUGGUCGUGCUUUUGUACGUACUGGUAUUAUUGGUUUCUCCUUUCUGACGAACUAUAAUGCCAUUAAUUUGGUGUUAUAGGGAAUCAGGACUGUUACUUUGAAAAAAUUAGAGUGUUUAAAGCAGGCUCACGCUUGAAUACAUUAGCAUGGAAUAACGGAAUAGGACGUUUGAUUCUAUUUUGUUGGUUUCUAGGAUCGACGUAAUGAUUAAUAGGGAUAGUUGGGGGCAUUAGUAUUCAAUUGUCAGAGGUGAAAUUCUUGGAUUUAUUGAAGACUAACUACUGCGAAAGCAUUUGCCAAGGAUGUUUUCAUUAAUCAAGAACGAAAGUUAGGGGAUCGAAGACGAUCAGAUACCGUCGUAGUCUUAACCAUAAACUAUGCCGACUAGGGAUCGGAUGAUGUUAAUUUUUAAUGUACUCAUUCGGC
rnacentral:rRNA from 1 species